GCAAGUCGCACGAGAAAUCCUUAGCUUGCUAAGGAAAGUAAAGUGGCGCACGGGUGAGUAACGCGUGGGUAAUCUACCCUCGAAUCUGGAAUAACUUCGCGAAAGCGGGGCUAAUACCGGAUAAUAUUAAUUGAUCUUCGGAAAUUUUGAUCAAAGGUGGCCUCUACAUGUAAGCUUCCGUUUGAGGAUGAGCUCGCGUACCAUUAGCUUGUUGGUAGGGUAAUGGCCUACCAAGACGAUGAUGCAUAGCCGACCUGAGAGGGUGAUC
rnacentral:rRNA from 1 species